CGUAGCAGCCCACUUAAAAUUCCGCAAGAAAAUCAUAUUACUGCCACAAGAACCAGCCAGAACCUCCUACUCCCACUACCACCCACACUCACCCACCAAAACAGUGGGGAUCGGGAACGGGAAUCAUUUUCCUGCUUUCCCAGCAUCCGUCGGAGCAGACCAGACCAGACCAGAGAUACCAAGUCAGGCCACGAGCAUAACGUGCAGCUUUCCAGCUUUCGCCGCAAUCAAUUUUACGGGUGCACAGCAGCAACAACCAGGAACAGGCUGGGAUGCGCCAGUGGAAUUAGAGCAACCCCGAGCACAGCCACGCCAACGCCAAGCCACUCAGCCACCACCACCCGGCCACCUCACGAGCGGAGUUAGACGGUGUUCCAGGAGGAAGAGGAGCGCACGUGGUUCUGCUCACAUGAAGGUAUUAGUCCGGAACAUCGCUGCCAUGGCAUGGGUCAACGCCAUCGCGCAUAGAGAACUGGGCUGCAUCCAUGUAUGCGUAGGCGUGUAGGAUAUUUGUUCGGCAGCACGGUUAAAUACAAAAAAUCCAUUCGUCAAAUUGACCGAUAACACGGUACAAAUUCCACAAACAAAGU
ensembl:ncRNA lncRNA:CR45289 long non-coding RNA:CR45289